UCUCCGUUGGUGAACCAGCGGAGGGAUCAUUACCGAGUGCAAACUCAUAACCCUUUGUGAACCUAUAUCUGUUGCUUCGGCGGCGCGCUCUCGGGCGAGCCCGCCGGUAAUAUCAGUAUCUCUGUUUGAACCCGACGAUACUUCUGAGUGUUCUUAGCGAACAGUUAAAACUUUUAACAACGGAUCUCUUGGCUCUA
rnacentral:misc_RNA from 1 species